rnacentral:tRNA from 1 species
CCGGUAUAGCUCAGUUGGUAGAGCAUCUGAUUUGUAAUCAGAGGGUCGCGGGUUCAAGUCCUGCUGCCGG